ACUCAAAGGAAUUGACGGGGGCCCGCACAAGCGGAGGAACAUGUGGUUUAAUUCGAUGAUACGCGAGGAACCUUACCUGGGCUUAAAUGUAUAGUGCAUAAUGUGGAAACACAUUUUUCCUUCGGGACUCUUUACAAGGUGCUGCAUGGUUGUCGUCAGCUCGUGCCGUGAGGUGUCGGGUUAAGUCCCAUAACGAGCGCAACCCUCAUCGUUAGUUGCCAACACGUGAAGGUGGGGACUCUAGCGAGACUGCCGGUGUAAACCGUGAGGAAGGUGGGGAUGACGUCAAAUCAGCACGGCCCUUAUGUCCAGGGCUACACACGUGUUACAAUGGCCAAUACAAAGGGCAGCCACCUGGUGACAGGGCGCUAAUCCUCAAAGUUGGUCUUAGUUCGGAUCGGAGUCUGCAACUCGACUCCGUGAAGCUGGAUUCGCUAGUAAUCGUAGAUCAGCCAUGCUACGGUGAAUACGUUCCCGGGCCUUGUACACACCGCCCGU
rnacentral:rRNA from 1 species